UCCCAUUCACAUGAUGCUCAUAGUUAAACUGCCAAUUCCAUUUACUACAUAUGGCUUUGGAAACAGUAUUGGCUUUUGGGCAUUUGACUCUAGUCUCAACUAGGCCAACAAAAGAAAUACUAUGCUUAUACAAAAGAGCUAGGACACUAUCCUGCUUGGACUUCAUAUUUACACCUCUAAUAUUCAUAGAGCAAAAAUUAACCAUAAAAAGGUUAAGGUUAAAAUGGGGCAGGCCUCCCCCCUCCUUUGAUCUUUUUCUUUGAAGACUAGCCAGAUUCCGAACCAGCUCGAGCUUUCGCCUUAAGAUCACGACCUGCCUUUUCAUCAACCAUUUUCAGCUUUCCCACAAGGGGAUUUGGAGAAGGGGAGCAGUCAGAAUCAGAAAACCCCUCCUUAGCCUCCCCACCAGCAGCAAUAGGCUUGAAGACAUUGGAGUUACCAACCAAAGAGAGAUCACAAUUGGGAACCUGCUGUUUAGGUCCUUUAGCCACCAAAGUCCAGUUAUCGGAAGAAUUUUCUGUAACGGGCUUUGGGAGAACAGGAGAAAUAGGGGCAACAGCCAUAGAGUCUGAAGAAGAUUUUUGGACUUUAGGCAGCCAUUGGUAGUUUGCUUUAGGACAACGCAGAAGAGAGUGCCCAAACGUUUUACAGUGAGAACAGAUUUGAGGUCAAUUUUGGUACUCCACUCUGACAUUUACAAUCUUUUCAGAGUUAGUUUCCUCAUCAAGAACUACCACUUCCAGAGAGCUAGGCAAAGCCAAAGAGGGUGUUAUUUCAACACAAAUCCUAGCAAAAUUCAUAGGUUCUAGUUUUUCUGUGAUUUUAUCCACAAACAGUGGAACACCAACCCCACUAGCAAGGUAACUGAGCCCAGCUGGAGACCAAUAAGACAUGGGGAUGUUAAGGAAUUUAACCCAGAUAGGAGCUUUAGCACAGGAG
rnacentral:lncRNA from 1 species